rnacentral:tRNA from 1 species
GGCGGCGUACCCAAGUGGACUAAGGGGGCGGAUUGCAAAUCCGUUAUCGCGGGUUCGAAUCCCGCCGCCGCCU